rnacentral:rRNA from 1 species
AUUGAACGCUGGCGGCAGGCCUAACACAUGCAAGUCGAGCGCGAAGGUUCUUCGGAAUGAGUAAAGCGGCGGACGGGUGAGUAAUACAUGGGAAUCUGCCUGGUAGUGGGGGACAACGUUUCGAAAGGAACGCUAAUACCGCAUACGCCCUACGGGGGAAAGGGGGGAGUCUUCGGACCUCUCGCUAUCAGAUGAGCCCA